CUGGGGGGGGAGGAAGGAGGAAAUGCGAGAGGAGGAGGAGAGAGCAGAAGAAGCGAAGAGGAAGGAGAAGGGGAGGGGCGGUGUCCAGUUUCCUUUCUCAGGCUCAUUGAGAUGCGAAAUUGCCAAAAUUUUUUUUUUUUUCUUUUGAAACCCGGAUUGUAUAAAUUUACAGUUGCCUUUUCAGCUGAAGCAGACAACGUUAACACAUUGGAUUUUCUGUUUCAGAAUGCAGACUAAACCUAGGCCAACUCUUCGGAAGGCUUAAUUAGGGCUUUAAGAAAAUGGGAAAUCAGAAAAGGGCUAGAAGAAUGGCGAGUUCACCCUCGCCGCGAUGUGGGCUUUUUUUUUUUUUUUUGGUUCUUUACUUAAAAAGAGACAAUUGCUUAGUAAUAAAACGGCCCAAGUGUUCUUUGAACAUAACAGGAAGUACUGCUGAAAAAACCCCACGCUUUUUUUUCUUUUUUCUUUCUUUUUUUUUUUUUUUUUUAUCAUGGAGGCGGAAGGCAGGAGGCCAACGCAGGCUGGGGCACGCUGGGGCAGUCUCAGGCCACUUUGUCCGUCCUUUCAGCCCUCGAGGCCCUGCCAGGCCACGCUGUCCUGGCGAGGGCCCUCAGCAAGGCCGGUAGAGGAGUUGGUUCUCCGCUGACCCCCUCACCCCGGAAAGUGCCCCUGCACUCCUGAGGAGGCCUAACCUGGAACAUCGCAAGCUGCAGCGCGCGCGUGACUGCGCGCGUGACUGCGCAUGUGAGUGUGCGUGUGUGCGUGUGCGUGUGCGUGUGUGUGUGUGUGUGUGUGUGUGUGUGUGUGUGUGUGUGACUAGGUCUAGGGACUAAUGGAGUUUUGUUCAGCUUUGUUGUUUCACCAGGGUUGCUAAGACAGUGCAGGCAACUUGGUGAUGACAAAAUUGUGCCUUCAUGAUCGCUCCUUGAAAAUGAAGGUGACCGCAAGGUGAUGAGGAAUACUGAGGAUCCUCACCCAGUCCUGUUUGUUGCAUCUGGAUGUAGCGGAGCCUGAAGGUAACCUCUUUUAUAUGCAUCAAAUUUUUGUUUUCUUAGUCUCAUAUGAUUUGGAUUUCUAAUGCUUGUUGCUGAAAAAAUAAUCCAGGCUUACCGGGUUAUUGGCCUCUAUUGGCAGAAAUAAAAAUUAUAUUUUAAUGUUGGAGUAACAGCAUUUCUCUCUCCUUUCCCUCCUUCUCAUUUUCCCUCUCUUUCCUUGGUGGUACUGGGUGUGCUGACCUUUCUGUCUCAGGCUCCUGUAUGCUGGGAUUAAUGUGUGCAUCACCACACCAGAUUUUCUUUUGCUUUUUACUGGGACCUAUGGUCUGUGAAAGGGUUUUGGCUCAGACAGGACACUGUAGCUGGUGAAGCCUUAAAGGAGGAACCAAAGAGCUCCUGUCUCCUCCAUCCCUAGGAAUUUACUUGUGACGCCAUCUUCCCCACCCCUGGGAACUUAGCUAUGGCGCCAAACCUAGGACCAAUGGGCUACCCGUGCAUCCCUGAUGCCCCUUAGGUUCCACCCCAAACCGAGGCUACUUACUACCCCCGAUGCCAUAUGUCCGCCAGAGAGACAGCCAGACUCCAGCGGGCAGGGGGUGUGGUUCUCUCUCUCAGUGUUCUCAGAAUAAAGACCUCUUUUGUUUUAUACUUCUCAUCUUCUGGAUAUAAUCCUAUCAGUCUAUAGAUAUAGAAGUGCAGUCCAGAGAUGCGUACGAUUUUGCGAUUUAGUUAUUACCCAAGAAGCAGCUGCCUGGCAUCCUGUUCUAACUACCAGUGCUGCAAACCUACAAGAAAAUCACCUCCUUGGGUGGAGUGCUGGUGCAUGCCUGUAAUCCCAGCACUCGGGAGGCUGAGGAAGGAGGAUUGCUGCAAGUUUGCGACCAGCCUAGUCUACAAAGUGAGCCAAAGGCCAGCCUGAACUGCAUAGGGAGACCCUGUUUUAAAAAAAAAAAAAAAUUACCUCCUUGGUUUUUUCUUCACAGACCACCACACUUCCACCACACUUCUGACCUUCAGGAGGACAAACCUGAGUGAGUGCGGUCACUCAGUGACUGGAGCCACAUGGGAUCUCGCAUUUUGCAUGCAGCAUACCCCACCUUCAUAGCUACAGCUGGGUGUCUUCUAUUCCAGCACUGAGUCCACCCUGAUGCUCUUUGCACCAUGCCUUCACCCAUCAGAGGGUACAGGGUAUCUGACACUCUUAGUGCAGCAUCUGUGUGAGCUGCUGAUGCCAGAAGCACCCUGGGCGGCCGGCCUUUAUCUUCCUGAGGCUUUGACCCAGUCCUCCUUUCUCUGUCUGCUUCAGUUUUUGUCCCACAGCUUCCUGGUCCUAUUUCCUUGCCUCCAUCUGCCUCCUCCUUCAGUGCUAACCUUCCAAAUGCAGGGCUCCUGAGAAGUGGCUGAGUGCUCCCCGGACCCCGCACACUUUCCAAGGCUUCCAGAGCUCAUGGGUGCCCUGAUUCUGGGCUGAAAGGGGAAGUAAGAGAAAUCCUACCAAGAGAAAGAAUUUCGGCCACUCUGGAUGGGGUGGGUGCUUUCUCUUCUGGCUGGGUCGCAGGGUUCAUUUGACCUCAGUUAGUGCACAGCAGCUUUUCCCUUAAUUGCUGAAAAAGUGCGCCACCCAGGAGGUGCUCAUUCUGCACAGGCUGGUCAUUAACAACCAAACAUGGUGUUAUGCCUGGACACGGCAGAAAGGAGACCAAAAGGCCUGUGACUGAAACCUUCCUGUCCUUGCCAGGCGAAAGUUUCUCCCUACUGCGCUCUCAGGAUAAAGAGAAAUUUCUUGUUGCAGCUAUUGCUGUGUUGUUCUCUCCUUGGUGUCAGAGGUCUCUUCGCUUCUUCCAGUCAUGUGGGCAACCUUGACUAUGUGGCCUUUGCCAGGCAACUCACUGCUUGCCAAAGAAAGAGGCUUUGGAGCUGGGCCUGGUGCCCCACGCCUAUAGUUUCAGAAUUCCUGGAGGCUGAGGCAGGAGGAUUCAAGUGCCAGCCCAGCCUGAUCUGUUCAGCAAUUUAGUGAGACCCCAUUUUAAGGUAAAAAAUGUGCUGGGAAUGUAGUUCAGUGUGAAGACUGUGGGUUAAAUGCUCAAUACUGGAAAUGUUGGGGAAAAUAAAAAAUUUUUCCACUGCCUCAGCUGACUGGAGGCCCCUGGUUCCCAGCAUCCAAGUGCUCCCAAGGGCUGCCCUGUAUUUCCUGUAGCCAAAGAAGAGAUGAGUAGGGAAAAUUACUUGCAGUGAACUCAGAGACUUUUGGUGUCAAGCCUGUGUUUCUUGCUAGGGGUUCCUCGGGUCUCGGGGAGUCAAAACUUUCUCUUGUGUAUUUUUUCUUUUGCAUGCCGUUGGUACUCGAGGUUGAGCCCAUGAGUUUGCACUGCACACUCACCAUCCUGUCUUGCAUUUGCUGCCUCUGGCUUGGGUCUGGACUGAUGAGCUGGAAGACACAGGAGCCUGAGAUUUCGCAGACACAACACCUUUGAAUUUCAGAAACAUGAUGAAUGGGCAGAAGGCACCACAAUCGCAUCUCACUGUGGCCUCACUUUUUUUGAAGCUGGCGGCUGGCUGGGAACUGUCCACCCCUUUGUCUCCUGGCUCCUUGGGCCAGGACUGCCCAGGUACCCACCGCUUACCAGAUGCACAACCUUCGGAGCUGCUGACUGGUGGCUUGCUGAUUUUAUCCCUGAGACCCACCAGGCUUCCUGGACUUCAAAUGAAAAAGUUAGAAAUGUCUUUCACUAGUACUUUUUCAUGUUCUACCUUAUUUUGCAUAUGAUGUGGCCACCACCAUUGGCCCUGGUAUAAGGUGGCAGUCUCCUGUGAGCCCCAUCCCCUGUGACCAUGUGACACCCACAUUUUGUGUAAGUGAGCCCUGCUGUUCACACCACUGCAUGGUUGUCUACUGGAAUCCCUCUCAGGUCAUAACCUCCCCAUCGAGCCACCCAUCACUCUGUUGAGUCAAAAUGCAUCAUGGAAAGUAAUUUUCCCCACAUUGUCUUUUUAAAAGAUGGCUCCUAAAAGUUUUCGGAUGGCACAUGCCAUGUGUAUACUGCCUCUGUGAGAGGCUACCACUUCAAGCAGGGAGUGAACUUUGUCUGCAGUGGGUGCACUAGGCUGUCGUUAAUAGCUCUUCAACUAUUUGACUCGGUUGUAGCAGAAAAUAGCCAUGGACGAUAUAUGAAAGAUGCCCCUUACCAAGCACCAGUAAAGGUAUACUGAAUUUUAAAUGGUGCAGCUGUGUGUGACCUCACCUCAGUUUGAAGAGAGGAAGAGUAUACUUCUAAAUGGAAAAUUUGGCUUUGCAAGAUAGUUCAACUACCAUAUAGAAAAGUAUUGUUUGGAUUGGUUUUUUGGGGAGUCUUUUUGAGACAAGGUCUUGCUAUGCUAGUUAAGCUGGCUCUGAGCUUGCUUAGUAGCCCAGGCUUGUCUCGAACUUGUAGUGAUCCUCCUGUCUCAGCCUCCCAAGUCCUGGGAUUACAGGUGUGCAUCAGCAUGCCACUGGUUUAUGAUGCCUUUUAGUCUUUUUUUUUUUUUUUGUAUCGGGGAUUGAACUCAGGACCUUGCACUUGUCAGGCAAGCACUUAUGCUGCUGAACUGUAUCCCAGCCUUAGAUUGAUUUUUUUAUCCUAGCCUUUUCUUCCCCCCCCUCCCCCCUUUAAAGACAGGGCUGGACAUGUAGCUCUGGGGUAGAGUACUUGCCUAGCACGUGUGAGACCCUGAGUUCACCCCAGAACUAAAUGAAAUUUAAAAAUGAGAAGAAAUAGUAUGAGUAUGAGUGCUCUUGUGUGUCCAGGCUUGUGUCAGUGCCUCCUGGCUCAUACUACAGGGAAGGCAGGGAAGGUAGGUUGACCAUCGUUUAUCCUGCAGAGGCAAAGAAAACUGCAGAGAAUUUCUGUCUGGCUCUUGUAAACUUGGAGGGCACACUUCAGUGAGGUCAUUUGAAAACCAGCAUUGUCAUCUAACAGGCAAGAGAGAGAUGAAACUACCAUGGCUGGAGUUCUGAUAGCUGAUACCUGAAAGGGAUUUUCAUAAAGAACUGUUGAAGUGGUAACUCUGUCCUCACUCAGUGAGGCCUUUUUACUGCCGUGAGUGGCAUUGUGAACUGAUCUCCAUGCUGUCAGAAAAUAUCCUGAGUUGUAAUCACUUUUUGAUUCCAGUAACAAACAGCCAUGAUCUGGUGCUGUGUGCAGAAACAGAUUUGGGGCUGGGAAUUGAACCACAGCAGAGUGCUGGGGCACUUACAGGAGCAUACAUGCCACUGAAAUACCAGGAGGUUCCCAGUUAAAGGCUGUUAUAAGCGCUUCUCAGUAUUGAGGAAAAAUGGGAACAAUUUUGGUCCUAUCCACUUUGCAGCCAAUGAAUCAUGCCUGACUAUCCACCUUAGCUUUGCUUUUCACUAGAAAUUUUCCAUCAUCUGCCGGGCCAUGAUGAUGUUUGUUGUAAUCCCAGGGCCAUUGCUGUGAGUUUGAGGCCAGCCUGAGCUACAUAAGGGAAACCCUGUCUCACAACAAAAACCAAAACAAGGUGGGUGUGGUAUUGCAUGCCCAGCACUCAAAAGGCUGAGGCAGGAGGAUGGUUGCGAGUUUGAGAUCAGCCUGGGCUGCAAAGUGAGCUGAAGUCCAGCUUGAACUGCAUAGUGAGUAUCUCAAAAAAUUCAAAAAUAAAACAAAAUGUCCAAGUUUAAAGGAUGAUAAUCAAUAGCUUGCUCAUGCAGGUACUAAUUGUUAGAAGUCAAGAGAUUGCACUGGAAGAAAAUCAACCAAAACUGAAUGUGUAUGUACCAUGUAAUAGAUACUUGGCUCAGCAUUGUUAUCUUUGCACCUUCUAAAUUACCCAGCAUACUAAAUCUUUAGUAAAAUACAUAAACGUGGAUAAAAAGCUUAAGAAUGGAUUCCGUUUAAUCCUCUGCCAUCGAAAUAACUUUCCUUGUGAUAUAAACCAGUGCAGGCAUUAUCGGGGUGAUGGUUUCCAAAUGCGACUUCAAGGCUUUCUAAAUGACUUGCCACCUUUUAAAAGUUUUGCAUGGGACCUCUUGUUUUUUCCUUUGAAAUAGCUGCCACUAGUAGAUGACUCCUGAAGGUGAAAACUGCCCCAAAGCCCCCACUUUAUGUAGCAGCCUCUCAACUGCUCUUUGGGGAUCACAGCUCUUCCUACUGCCCUUACCCUGAGUCUCAACCUAGUGAUGUCAGCAGGCCAGCUCGUCCCAGGCCUGCCCCAGGCUACUACGCAGGGACUCUCCAUGUGGCUUUCACAUGCCUCAACACCUAUGUCCCUUGGGUGUUUCCUAGAACCUUUUUGCACUUGUCACUAUCUUUUAAAAAGCCUGAGACUAGAGUCUAAUUAAGAGCCAUGCAUGCAUUUGGCAGUGACCCAGUAAUUUCCUCCCACUGAAAUAGUCUGCUCCUAGCCCUUGGUGUUUCCUGCAAGGCACCAACUUCCUUGGAAAAACCUUGGCCAGCUGUCUUCUUAAGUGUCCUAGGAUCUGUGUUUGUCUGAUUGUUUUGUCAUGCUUCUGUUUUAGCUGGAGAUUUCUGGCAAGGAUCUUAAAAGGUAAUGCUACCAUCCAUGGCAGAGAGCAGUUGCUGUAUGUGUAUCUGUGCAUAUGCAUGGACUGCCUCAUUGUAGAUGGUGUGUAUGCCUCUGUGUGUAUGCGUGUGUGCGUGUGUAUGUGUGUGUGUGCACAUGUUAUUCCACUGUGAAAUACUUGAUUCCAGCAUAUGUCAUCUUAACCCAUGGAGGCUCAUAGAACAAAAGACCAUAGUCGAGGUGGCUUAUAAACAGAGAUAACUUGUGGUUCUGGAUACCAGCCGUUCAUGGUCAAGGCAUAGCAGAUUCCGUGUCUGGUGAAGGCUGCUUCCUGGCUCAUAGAUGGCACCUUCUUGCUGUUUCCCCAGGGUAGCAAGGGCAGGGAGUUGUCUGGCAUCUCUUUCAUAAAGACAUUGUUAUGGUUUAGAUAGAUAUCAGUUGCCUCCCAAAGUCUUAAGAGUUUGGAAGGUGACUGCAUUAUGUGGCGUCAUAUUCAUGAGUGGAUUUGUCCAUUGAUGAGUCCACAGCUGACCCUGCUGCUCUGAGGUAGAGGUGGUUGGAAGUGUUCGCUGAGGGUGUGGCCUUAAAUGCUGUGUUCUUGUCCCUGACUCCUCGUCUCCCUCUGUGUUUCCUGGCUUUCAGCUUUCUUCUGCCAUGCCCUUCCUUCAUGCCUUGAUGUUUCUGCCUUGGAACCAGUGUACCAUGGGCUGAACCCACCGAACCUGAAAUAAGCUUCUCCCUGCAGUGCAAUUGCGAGGUAUUUUGUUCCAGCUCCAGCAAAACUAACUAAUGCAGACCUUAAUUCCAUUCCUGAGAUUCCUCCCUCAUGACCUCAACAUUCCCAGAAACCCUUCCUCUGAGUGCCAUUAUUUUGGAGAUUAAAUUUCAACCUGGCAAUUAAUUGGGGGGGGGCACAUUGGGACCACAACACUAUUUGAUUUGUGUAUAACCAUAACUACCAUAACUAGAGAAAAUCAUUAUCAUCAAUCUCUAUUGCAAACAACUGUUACUUUAAGUACAGGUUCCGUGAAUGUGCAUGCACAUCAUCAUGGGACCGAAAGGCAUUCUGCUCCCUGGUUUGCACACGCUGCCCGCUCAGCCUGAAUUAAGUGGAAUUAUUUGUAUGAGUUUCCAUAAGGCACAAAUCUCAAAUCUAAACUCUUGCUGAGAAUGGGAAUAAAACAGCUAGGAGAAUUUACUCAGAGGGAUUCCCGGGCCAGUGCUUUCUGCUUCUGCACCUGGGAAGGGGUGCAGGGAGUCCCCAGAAGGAUAACAUAUCACAGAACUGCGACCUUGUCUGCAUUUCCUGCAGGUGAUAGAAGUGUGGUAAACAGUGCAGCCUGAGUUGUGCUGUGAAUACGAAACCUUGUCAUACAGCCUAGGUUUUUUAUGCUUGUUAAUCAGGCUCUAAAAGCACCAGAACCUUUUGCUGAGUUAGUAAGGUAUCAAGCGGAAGAGUUACAGAGCUAAAAACAGCAUGAGAACAGCAGAACAGAGGGUUAAGAUGGGUUUAAAAGCUGUUCAUGGUGAUACAUACCAAUAAUCCCAGCACUUGGGAGGCUGAAGCAGGAGGAUUGAAAGUUGGGGUCUUGCUCAGGCAAUCUGGAGUGGAAAAACUCUGAGUGUGACAAGCGCUGUUCAUUAUAGUCAUGUGGGGGCCAGAAACCCUAGAGAGGAGGAAGAAACAUCCAACAUGGUGCAGUUCGUAGGGCAUCACGCUAGCAUAUAAUGGUCACCAUUUUUCCUUGGGGAAGUGGGGACCACCUACCACCAUCAGUGGAUGUCUGAGCCUUGCUAUGGGGGGCCCCUUGGAGACUGAUGAGCACACUGUGACUCCUGCAUGGGAUGACCAGGAGCUCCACCAACCACUUAGGGACUUAUAGCUUUCACAGUCUAGGCCAUGGCACUCCUCUCACACCAAGAUCAGUGAUAAGGAGGACACUGUUAGGGAGUGAUAGAAAAGCUCCAGGCUACAAAGUCCCCUUGGGUGUGACCAAACAGACAGGCUGGGUUUGAACUUGGGAUCCUUCUGCCUCAUCCUCCCAACAUGAGCAUUUUAAGGAAACCCACAGGGGUUGUCUGUAUCUAGUUUCUGUAAAUUGGAGAUUAUUUUUCUUCUUCCCAUGCAGCUGCUGAAAUCAGGCAAAAUAUAAGACAGUUCUGAGAGAUGUAUGUUUGGCUGAAGAGAAAGGAAGUAAAAAACAUAAAGGGAAAAAAAAAAAAAAGUUCUCCGCCAGUUGAUGAGAACGGCCAGUGUUUCCCCAGGAAAAGCCCCUUCCUCUGACCUACACUGAUUUCCCCUGACCUCCAGAAGGUCUCGCCUGCAAGUGACCCCUUGAAUUUAGGGCUAUUUUAUGGAUUCUUGUUUUCUUGUUCUUUGUUCGUAUAAUUUCAGACCCAAUGUAGGAAACCAACCAUCACUUGGAAAGUCACGAAAACAGGACUUAAAAUGAAUUUCCAACUUCUCUGUCUUGAUUUCCAUCCCAUUGGUUGGCAGGUGGGCGGCAAGGGGGAAGGUCUUUCUCCUCUCCUCUUGACCAGGGACCAUAAUAGAAUGAGAAGAUUUCUUCUGUAUGCCACUGCAGGCAUGAAUUCCAAAAGUGAGGUUCACAGAUUAAACACUGGGCACCCACAGCUACAUGGAUGGAGGGUCCUGUGGAGAGAAGGUGGCACUGUGGACGGAGAUACAGGUGGCUGAGGGCACUGUGAGGGGAACAUUACAAUUGGCUGAUUCCCAGGAUGGCAAGAGGCAGAUCUGCAUGCUUGGGAAUUUGCAGGAGGGAAGCAUUUUCAUUUUUAUUUUAAAGGUUAUGCCUCAUGAUAACUGCAUUCUCUUUGGGAGCCUGAACUCUGGCCUCCCUCAAACACUUUUGUGAAUUUUGCUGUAAGCACUCCUGAGUUUCAUUCUGUGACUGGCUUCAUCCAUUUGACUAAAAGAAUUGAUAAGAAGUUCCUCUUGGUACAAUAAUCAUAAGAAACAACAAAUGCAGAAUGUCUGGCUUGCAGAACGUCUCUGCGUAGCCAGAGAAACAAUUUAUUUCUUAAAAAUAAAGGAUUUGGUCUACCCAGUAGAGUUAUAUUCAUGAUAUAGCUUUUAGUGUGCAACCCCUCUCACACAUAGAGCCAAGAAACACAACCUUGAGUUUAAUCUUUCACCGAUGCAAAUAUUUUAUGGAAUACUUUAAAUUUUUAUCUCAAGGCUGGACCUUAAUAAUUUACCUCAAAAAAGCCUCUAAACCAGGAGAGGUGGUCCAUACUUGUAAUCCUAGCACUCUGAUGUCUGAGGCAGGAGGUUCAGAAGUUUAAGAAUGGACAGUUUAGAGGCUUAUUGUGAUCCCGUCUGAAAAUGAAGAUAAAGAGGGGGUAUGUAUGGCUCUGCAUUCAAUCUCCAGUGUAGAAAAACUGCUUAAUAUCUUGUUCCACAUGUUCUAGGAAAAAAUUAACUUGUGGCCUACGCUGUCUCCACCUAGUUCCUAUUUUUUGUCCAUUAAACAGUACAUAACAAUUGCAUAAUUCACACAGGUUUCUGGCAUCCCUCUCUAGAAAGUUAUAGGAAAAUUUGGGGGAAGCAUAUGGCAUUUCUCUACUUUCUUUAUCAGAAUUAUAGUUUUCAAAUGCAAUAAACGAGCAGGAUAUAAGAAAAAGUAAAAGUGGCCUUUUUAUUUAAAGGACGUGGAGAGGACCCUACAGCCAGCAAUGGUUAGGCUUUCUCUUCUGACUGGAUAUGAGGGUGUGGGGUAUAAGUGACCUCUGAGCAGAUGUGGGGCUUCGGGUGGGCAUUGAUAACAUGAGAGGAGCUGAUUGGAAUUUUCUUUGUGUGCAUGGGGGAAAGGAAGAAAAGUUAUAAUCCGAGAAGAAGAAGGAAGUGGCCAUUAGGAUAAGCAUCUCCGAUUUGGCCUUCCACCAUGUUGAACUACAGCGAUAAUGUCCUGUAAUUUAUUAUAGGGCAAAACUCUUCCAAGAAUAUAACCAGAAAAAGCAACUUGACAGGGCGAGAUAUAUUGGCUCUGAGAACAACACUUAACCUGAUGUAUGGAAAUAUCCACAUUCAAUGUUUGGAAACUUUAAAAACUAUGAAUAAGGAAAAGAAGUCAUAGUAUCUAAUUUACUAAGUAAUGCUCUACCAGGUCUGAGAUUUGGCAAAACAUCUUUUUCUAGUAGAGCUGAGUCCUUUGUUUUAUGAGUCAUGUUUGGUAUAUGUAUGUGUGUGUCUCAGUUUGUAUGACUGUAUAAUAAAUCACCCCUCAAAUCUUGUGGCCUAAAACAGAGGCCAUGGUUUCUCUUCCCUCUGUGUCUAUAUGGGCCAGGAAUAACUUUUACUUUGGGGGUCUCAGGCAUCACUCAGGGCUGUGAGCACAGGGAGACACAGCUGAGGAAAGAGGGUCUCAUUUGUGUCUCUCUAGCUGGAUCUCUCCUCACAGCAUGGCGGCCAAUAUCUUCUAAGAUGGGUGGCCCAAAAGCCAAGGUAAAAGUGUGUCAGGUGUUGGCGGCUUUUUUCAGAAGUCACACAUGGUUGUUUCUGCUGUUUUCCAUUGGGUGUGCAGGGCCAUUUGAGCCUCAGGGUGUGGUGGACCCCAGAGGUGAAUCCCAGCCAGUGAAGGUCAUUGCACCACCAUGGCAAAUGACAUGUGUGCUCUUGCUGAUGUGGGAAGGUGCUUGGCAAACCCAGACCCAUUUCCCCUCAAGCUGGUCAGUGGGCCAGAACAAGGAAUCGGGUUUUAAAAGCAUGAGUUCCAAAACAGCAACUUCAAGGAUGUUAAAUAGGAUCUGCUUCUGGUCACAUUGUUCUGGGAGUGAUGGUACAUAGCUGUAAUUCCGGCUGCCCUGGAGGCUGAGGCAGGAGGAUGGCAAGGUUCCAGGCAAGCUGGGGAAACUUAGUGACACCCUGUCUCCAAAUAAAAUUUAGAAAGGUCCAAGGAUGGAGCUCAGUGUUAGAAUGCCCCUGGGUUCAAAGAAAAAGGAAAAAGAAUGAAAGUGAUUUUAAAAUUAUGUUCUUGUUUAAUAGGUGAAAGAUUUAAAAACCUUUAUAUACACAACCAUUUUUAAGCUUUAUUUUAUUUUUACUGUUUUGAAAUGGGGUCUCAUGAUGCUGCCCAGGCUGGACUUAGGUUUCUGGGCUCAACAGAUUCUCCAGCCUCAGCAUCCCAGAUAGGUGGAUACCACUGUGGUAGGCUCAGUUUUAGUCUUUGAAUUAUAGCUUCCCUGCUUUCCUUGACUGGAAGUUCCUCACUUCCCAGCAUGGCAGUAGAAGCAAACAGAUCAUUCAUCCCUGACAGUGUUUGUCUGGUGGUUCAGUAAUGAGUAUAGUCACAGAGCAGAAGAUCUUGAAUAAUUCAGAAUUUGCAAACUCUGUAUCAAGGACUCUGACUGAGUUCAGUGGUACACAUCUGUCAUUCCAGGAUUUUGGGAGGCUGAGACAAGACAGUUACAAAUUUGAGCCCAACCCAGGAAAUUUAGUGACUUCGUAAGUACCUGUAUCAAACUAAAACACAAAUACAAAUAAGCAGGAUGUAGAUAGUGUGAAGGCCCUGGGUCCCAUCCCUGGUGCUGCAAAAAGUGAACACUGACAAGAAAAACACAGCUGGCUUGGGUCCCAACUCUUCCUAGCCUUGGCUGCCUAGGAAAAGAGGCAGAUUGUUUGUUGGUGUCAAAAGAAAGCCAGAGCUCCCAGGUGCUCUGAGAUGCAUAAAACUUAUCCUGGUGGGAAGUGGCUUGGAGUUUUGAAAGGCUCUGUGACAAUGGGCGUGACCCAGUGUCCCCUUGUGGGAUGAGAACAGUGUGUCCCUUGUAGGGGAAGCAGAGGCCAAGAGUGUGCAAAGCAAAAGCCUCGGAGAGAAGCAUCCAUGAGAGUCAGGGAUCCAUGGUUUGAGGCUGGGGUCACCCUUUGUUUUAUGUGACUGCAUCUCAACCAAGAGCUGGCCCUGGCUCACACACCAAGCACGGAAGUUCUGCAGCUGUCCUCUCCUCCUUGCUUAUUUUUCUUGCUUUUGUGUUUUCUCUGACACUGGCUUUCCAGAGCAGUAAAAAUGGAAACAAAUCACAUGGGGGUGGGGGUGUCGCUCUCUACCCCUAAGGUUUUGUUAGAAAAACAGCCCUUAAAAAUAAAAGCCACAGGAAAACAAGAACCUAGACAAAACAGAUACCCAAAUAGAUACGCUAUGGCCCUAUGAUGAAAACCUACAGAGAGAUAAUGCUGGACUGGCUCUUUACAAAGAUUUAAUAGUAAUUUUCCUUUAAAGAACCCCAAAUAAGAUGUACAGGUGCGAUGAUAUAUUUUUCAAAUUAGAUUUUUCUGAUGGAUUCUUGUUCAGACUCCAUUUGCCAGAGGUUUAUUUUUGUCUGGGUUCUGCUCUUUCUAAAGCUCCUGUGAAUUAUUUUCUCAGGACAUUAGAUUCUUGGCUUGAGUUGCAACCAGACAGACUGGAAUUUUUUUUUUUUUGAACUAUCUUUUCCCUCUUGUUUCUCAUCUUUUAAUUCUCAAAAUACAUGGGCUUUUUAUAGCGAUGGGAGCAAUUUUCAAAUCAGGCUUUCUGAAAAUAGUUUGAAUUAGAAUAUAUUAGGGGGAAAUCACCAUUUAUCCACAGAAAAACAUCAUGUUUUAUUUUAUUAAAAGCAGUACAUGAGGGUUGCAGACAGGAAAAAAUUAGGUGGACAAUGUCUGUCUGCUCUUACCUGUGCUGUGAAUGUUCUUCGUCAGAGACAUUUUUAACAUUACCUGCACAUGCUGGUAAAAGUACAUUGAAACACAACUAGUUUCUGGGGUAGUUUGCUUUUCUGGGGGCUGAUGAGAUCCAGAGGUUUUUCUUUUUUUUUUUUUUUCCGCUAGUGGUGGCAUUAAGGGUGUAUUAUGUUUAAAUCUAAAAUGCUUCCCAGUUACAUGUGUUUGCACGGAGGCUUUUGGCAGGGCCCGGAUCACAGCACUGCUCAAUUCAUGGUGGUGCGUGGCCAACUGUGCUAUUGGGAGAUGGGAUCUGGUCAGAAGAAUGCACUGUGGGAAGGGUGUUUUUCUUGUGUUCAGCUCCCUUCUUUUCUGUCUGCUUCCUGUCCACCAUGAGGGGAGCAGCUGUCUUCCACCAGGCCCUUCUGCUACACCCUUUCUGCCUCAGAACUGGCUGACCGUGGACUGAAGCCCCUGAACUGUGAGCCAAAUGAAACACCUCCUUAUUUAAGAAUUGCAGGGGUUAGGUAUUCCUCUCCAAGUCAUAGGAAAUACUCUGUAAGUCACAUAAUAUACUCUGUAAGACCCUUGAGAUCCUUGCUCCCUAGAUCUAUUUAAAUCUGCAUUCCUCUCCCAUUUGUUUUUUCCUGCUUCCCACUCUUUGAUGACAGGGACAGGUCACACUCCUCACAUGCAGUUGAGUCCCCAUACCUCACGACACUACUAUUUUUUCACACUAUAAUACUUUUAUUGUAUCCAGAUACCAAACAUUUUCCAUUGUAAUUAAGUAAAAUCCAAACCCUCUUCAGUUUAGCAUUUAAAAGUCUUCUAAAAUCCAACCCCAUAAACAAGCAUGUACCCAGCAAUGGUGCUUGUGAGCAUCUGCUUCAUGUCCACACAAAUGAAUGACCACAGCAUCACAGCUCCAAAGAACAUCUAGGAUCCUUCAACAGGGAAACCACGAAACAAACUCAGCGCAGGCUGUUCCCGCUGCAUGGACAGCUGGACACCCACAUUAGCAGAGGCCAGUGUGAUCACUCUAGCAAGUCUCCCAUCCAAGGCAAGGUCUGCUGUAGACCUUUACAUGCCAAGGGAUAUGGACAUCACAGAGGGGCUCACUUCCUCAGGAGUUUCCCAGAGAGAAGAACAAAAGGAUGAAGACAGCAGGGUGUGGGGAAGAAGAUGGGGUCCAUGCUGUAAUCCCAGCUCCUCAGGAGGCUGAGUCAGGAGGAUCUUGCAUUGGAACCCAGGCUGGGCAACUUAGUGAUGCCCUAUCUAAAAUAAAAUUUUAAAGAGGAUGGGAAUGUUGAUUAGUUCGAGACCCCAUGUUUAAACCCUAGUACAAUAGUACUAGGCACGGACCCAAAAAUGGUGCUUGUGAGCAUCAACAGCAAAGAGAUAUAGGGUAAAGGAGAAAAAAAGAUAACAUAGGCAUACUCAGUGUCAGAACCAUGCUGCAAACCCACCAGCUGAAUAAUAGCAGAAAGGGAAAAGGGAAGGAAAAAUAAAAAUGAAAACGGAAAAGAGAAGGUAUGAAAUAUUUUUGUAAAAAUGUUCAAGGAUGUAAUUUCUGGUUUUCUAGGAGCAUGGUGGCAGCUUGUUUCUGAAAUGUCCCCUCCUCAGAAAUUCAGAAACUCAGAGGACAAGGAGGAAAUGGAGACUUCCAAGCCACACAGUCAGGGAUGCUGGGGACAUGAAAGGAAGGCAACACCCAAAGUCAAAGCACAGCAGCCUCAGACCUGAGUCUACAAGGUCAGCGUGUGCAGAAGCUGCUGCUGUGUUGUAUGAUUGAGACAUCUUGGACUUAAGUUAAAGAAUUUAUAAGUGCACCAGAUGCACUGCCACGAAUCCUCUUCAGAACCCUCCCGUUCGCUUCCAACACACUCAUCCUAUCACCUUUGCCACUAUCUGCAGCAGCUCUGGGGUUCUCUUCCUCCCCACACCCAGUGUCUGUGGUGGCUACCUCCAUGUCCUGAAUGGAUUUGAAAUGCUAACCUUUCUUGGUCAUUUUGACCUUGGGGAUGAGCUGGAAGUAACAUGGUGCCAGAUCCAGUGUAUGAGGCAGAUGUGGACUUGGUGUCAUGUUUGUGGCAAGCCUGCCCUUCCCUGGCUGGUGCUUGGCAUCAGCCUUACUGUAUUUUGAUCACACCUCAGAAGGAUGCUCAGGAAAAUAGAAUUCCAGAACUGCUGCAGAAAAUGUUCAGAAGAAUACAGUGUGUUCAAAUCCCAGGGUGGUUGUGGGACUUUUGAAGGGGUUCAUCCAAUGUGUCUUUUACUGUAAUUUUCUUUUCCUGACACAGGGUCUCACUAUGCAGUGAAGGCUGACCUCAAAUUCAUGAUGUAGCCCAGACUAGCCUUGAUUUCACGGCAAUCCUGCCUCCUGAGUGCUGGACACUCAGGCAUAUGCCACGACGCCUGACCUUAAAUACUUGUUAAAUUUAAACAUUCACCAUCUAUUUGAUCAUCCCUAGUAGAAAAUGUCUCAGGAAGAGUCAGGGGGCAUUUGUCUGGGACACAUCACUCAAAGGUCACAUUUGACAUCCCUGGGUUAAGGAUGUGACCAAGAAGAAGCAAAGGAACCUCUCCUGGUUUCACCUCAGUGCAUUCAAGUGGUCACUUUGGAAGCUUGUGGAGGAUCCAUUCUGACACUCACAGGAGCCACCCUAAGAGCUGGAAUUUUGUGAAACACCUGAGUAAAUCAUUCCUAUGAUUGUUUUAACUCGAGUCUGUGGGUUCAGGAACUGAUGCGCUGCAUGAGGUUUAAUGCCCAGAACUCCAUAAUGAAUGAAGACUUUCAGGAAGAGGAGGAAACUGUAGUGACUCUUGGGUGACCUGAAACCCGCCCGCAUCCAUUUGUCUCUGAAUUGCAGCCUUCCCACGGGUGUCUGCCGUCUCCUUGGUUGCCUGUUGUCCUCUGAUCUUGGUUGUAUUUUUGAUCACCUGUCCUUCGCCAUCCCUGACUGCUCUCCUGCUUCUUGACUCAGUGGAGAAUUCCUGGGCAAUUUGCAGUUGUUCAAAAUGUCACUUUUGUAGGUUUGGGGCUUUUGGUGAAGGGGGAAGGGACCUGUGUUGCAGGGAGCAGUGGAAUAUUAAUCGGCCAUAAAGGAGAACAAAAUUACAUCACUUGCAGCUCAGUAAAUGGAACUAGAAAUCAUCGUGUUAGGUGAUGUAAGCCAGACUCCAAACAAGUGGUCUUGCACAUUUUCCUACCUAUAUGAAAUCUUGGAAACACCUGAAACAAAGCUGAUAUGAAAGCAGAAGCGAGACUGUGAGGGAAGUGGGAACAAAUGGAAGCAAAAAGGGGAAGAGCGAGAGAGUGAGGAUGCCCAAGUCCUUUUCUGUGAGUGUAGGAAAGUGUCAUACCCAAUUCCAUCCAUUUGUGCAAUUAAUAUGCAUAAAAAUAAAAUGAGGAAAGGAGGCGUGAUCCCAGAGAAGGGAAGAGUUGCCAUUAAAAUGUCAAAGCAUCAAGUUCCAGCUUUAAUGGCAAGGCAUAUGCUAUCCUGCUCCCAUAUGCUUCUUUCCAGUGCUCGCCAUUUUUGUCCGCAGCCACCAAGGCAUGGAUUUGCUCAGGGCUGGGCCUCUGCUUUCUCCUGGUACUGGGACACCUGUGCAGUAUCAAGCAUGUAGGUGUUGCUUCCUGAGAUCCACUUCCAGGGAGAAUCCAGUGCUAUGGGCUUCAGUGCCCGUGGACAGAGCUGUGGAGAGGAGGUCCCUGAUGUGAUUCUGCUUUCAGAGCGUUGGUCUUUUGUGACUCAGAAGCUUGUUCUGGGCAUACUUUUUGUGUCUCUGGGAAUAAAGGUCGCAACUUUUCUAGAAGACCACAGUGUCUACUUGAAGCCUGUCCCACUCUGGAGUAUUAGGGGUGAACACAGAACCAUCGCACCUGGGUUUCCACCAUGGGCAAUGGCACAGGACUUGUAUUAGUGACCAUUCCAAGUCACUUUCUGAGAGCAUGGUACCAAAUUCCUGGCUUGCCCAGGAAGAUACUAAGUGACUGCUUUCCUCAGAAAGAAAUGGAUGAAAGACCCAGCCAUCCCCAAACUGCACAUCUGAAGCUGGGAAACUGAUGUUCUGACCACCUCACUAUGUAUGAGCAAUGGUGGUACAUGGCUGUAAUCCCAGCAAUCUGGAAGCUGAGGCAGGAGAGCUUCCACACAUUCUGAAGUCAAGGCUGGCCUGAAGUAUACACUAUGUGACUCUGCCUCAAAAAAAAAAAAAAACAAAACAAAACAAACAAAAAAAAAAAACAACACAACUAAACAAACCAAAACCAAAGCCAACCCUCCCUUCAAAAAAUUCCCUCAGAGGAAAUCACAAAGGAAAUGAGAAAAAAGCGUCUCAAACCUGGUCCCACAGAAAUAUGUCAUCCACCUGUACCAGUCAAAUUGGUAGUGGUAAAUUCUCUGACAGUUCCAUCAUGCCAAAUUACAACCAGAUGAAAUUAAUUCUACUAAUAUAUGUAGCCGAGCAAUAUGUCAAGAAUGCCACCAUUUCACCUUGCAGUAAAUGCAAAAAUGAUUAAUGAAUAUUUUGCAUCCUUUUUCUCAUAGUGAAUCUAUUAUUGUAGCUAGAAGAAGGCAGGGGUCACAACCAGCUGCAGAAUAUAUUUUGUUCCUGGAUGUGGUUUUUAAAAUUAUAACUACUUCCCAAGAAAUGCAAAUCAUCAAUAAAAGUAGGUUAUAAAUUUAAAAUAUUUGUGUCUGCAAGAUAAAAGGAGACUAUGAUGCUUUUGAUGUAAUGCUUCCCAUGUUUCUGUAUUUUGUUCUGAGUUAUUUUCCAUUAUGGUAACAUUACACUCAGUUUUGCUUUGCUCCUUAUCUAAUGUCAUGGUAAAGGACACCAUGGACUGGGAUCUCUAGAGGAACAUGCUCUUCAGUCCAAGAAGCUGGAAGCUUCAGAACAGGUGACAAGACUAUUGGAUGGUGCCAGCCAAUUAGGACAGGUAUUUCCCCUCACCUAUAUGCCAGUCACUCCUGCAGACACACUCAGAAGAAGUGGGAUUCAAGCAAAGCUGACUCAUAGCCUUGGCAAAGCAGGUGAUAAGCUUUUUUUUUUUUUUUUUUGAGACAAAUUUCCUUAUGCAAUUCAGAUUGGCUUUGAACUCACUUUGUAGUCCAGGUUGGUCUCAAAUUUGCAGUGAUCCUCUUGCCUCAGCCUCCUGGGCACUGGGAUUAAAAGCAUGUGCCACCACAUGCUUUUAGGAGAUAAAUCCUUGUCAUACCACUGAAGCUCCAGAGGACGAGUCCCCAUGGAACUGUGCUGUAGCCCCUUGUUCUCCUCUGCACUCCUGGCACUAUUUCCUUCCUCUUUCUGGCCCUCCAUGUGUACCUUCAUGCUCAUGUCAGGUGCUUGAUGGGCAAGAUGAUCUCUCCAAAGGUGUGUGUUCUGGCUCAAAGCAAGAAGGAGGGAGGAAGAGAGGAAAGAAGGAAGGAGAGAAGGAAGAAGUCAGCUUUUGCUUCUUAGCCAUCCACAAGGGUAGAUCAUCUUUGACCUUUGAUAGCUUCAUUAUAUUGAAUGAACCAUUCACUAUGCCCCUUUGCAAAGGAUGCUGACUUUGGAAUUGGUGGUCUUCCUGUUUCAAGGCCAGCCAGGCUGCAGACCUUCAGCUCGAGUGUGAGACUUCUACCUUUGACAGUGCCCAUAAUUCUCUGGGAAACUGGUAAGUAGUCACUUUCCAAGAUGGUGCCAGGCACUUUCUCCCUUCUGAGCCUUCAUCCUUGUGCAGUCUCCUCCUACUCUGGUGAAGCUGACCAGUGGAAUAUUCUGGACCACUCUGGAAGGGUGGGUGUGCUUUCAGAGGACAGACGGUAAAACACAUCACCACUUUCUUCUUGCUUGCUGUCUCUUAGGCUUCUUGCUCUUGGGAAAGCCAGGUGUCAUAGUGUGAGAACAGUUGAGGAGUCCCAUGGAGAGGUCCUUGUGUUGAAGCAAUAUACACAAAUGAUGUUAGAAAUUGGUGUUCCCACAGCCUGGCCAAGCAUCAGACCAUGCCUGAUGGUGACAGAACUGUAAUUUUAAUGGGAUGAAAAUGAAAUACAGGGUUGUUUAAUACUCCCAUAGCCCACUUGGUUUCUACCUUGGACAACUGCUACAGGGUGUCUUUUUAUCCUGGGUAACUGAUUCUGUCUCAGUUCUUACAGAUUAGGAUGUGAGUGUAUAUCAGGUACAAAGUACUUGCUUAGCAUACCUGAAGCCCUGGGCUCCAACCCAGCACCCAGAAACCAAAACUGUGUAUGGUUCUGGGGAAAGAACUUGGUGGGUGGUUGAUGCAAGCCUGCCUUGGAGAUUUUCAUAUAUAUAUAUAUACCUGUUUCUCUAGGAAACCCUGACCCUUACACUGGCUCUCCUGUGGAGGCAGAGUUGGUUGAUGAUGGCCAAAGGGAGACUUCAGAAGCCCUUGCUGGGAGGUGUUACAACCCUUUGCCAGGCACUUACACAGUCAGGUCUCUGACAGCUUCAAGCUGCUGAAAAUAGAGGUAUGUACACAUUAUGAACAGAAAAGCCAGAAAAAGAAAGGACCAAAGUGGUUUGUUGAUAAUGGUUUUGUUCUCACCAGGGCUAUGAAAUCCUUUCAUGAAUCAGUUUCCUUGCUGCUCUGUAGAGACCACAGCCUCUUUAAUCCUUGAUCACCAGAGAAAGAAACAGCUUCCCACUGUCACCCCACCUAAGAACCUGCGCAAAUGUGCACUUGUGUAACUGCACAUCAGGGUUCCAACACACCUGGGCACCUGGACUCCUGAGUACUUGGGCACCUGGGAGGGGCCUGGUCCAAGAUAUAGACAGCAACCAGGUGAUGGAAAGGAGGGGUCUUUGUCCUGCCUGCCUCCUAGGUCUCCUGCCUGAGUUCAGGGAGAGCAGAGUUGAUCAUCUUCACCAAGGUAUAAGCCCUAGCAUGCACAAGCUUUACAAGAAUGUGUGUAUUCGCUUCUGAUCCUGUGUAAGUGCAAGCAUGGGGGAAGUGCAGUGGCCAGUGCUUUCCUGUGACUUGGUCUCCAUGAUGGAAAUUUUCUUGUGCGUAACAGGAGGUGGAGGUGGCCAGGGCAGGAGACCACCAGUCCCUUAUCUCUGUGAUAGGAGAAUGCAGCAGAGGCCACUUGGGACACAAACCUGCCCCAUCCAGUGCUUUGAGAAGAAAGAGUCCUGUUCAACAUAUUGCAGGAGGUUAACAGAGGCCACAGAACACUGGAGACCGAAGUUCAAAGUCAAAGGAUGCAUGUAUAAGCUCUUGUCCUUACAUUGAGCAUUGCUUCCUGGAUCCGGAGAGGAAGAUAUGUGCCACUUGGUCUUCAGGAUGAACUCAUCAUCAUGCUGGCUUCCUGGCAUGUACUUGACUGUGCUUAUGGUUGGAGGAGCUUGGGCCUCUGUCUCGAUGAGGAUGGCUGUGGUGCUUUGUGGCCUUUGUUGUGAAUGUGACUUUUGGCUCCAGCGUAGAACCCUCAACCUUCACCCUCAUGGCAUGGACUUUCUGACUUCCACUGCUGACUUUGGGUCUGCCCAGGACAGAUUCAUAAAAGAGACUUGCUUGAGUCCUUCUCAUGGGCUCUAGACCUCCAGUUAAACUUGUGGGAGACAUUGUCAUGAGCUCUGGGUCUUCAUCUGCCUAUCAUGCAGAACAUUACUGUGGUAUUUUGGCACUUGGGUGAAUAUUCUCUGUCUUCAGUGUUGUGGAUAGAUUUCCUGUACCUUCUUGUGUUAACUCUGGGUGACCAUUGUAAAAUAAUAUUAUAAACUCCAUGUCCUGAUUUUAAUUGUUCUCCUCACAACCCCUGACUAUAACAUCAUUAAAAAAAGAUGAAAGGUAUUGACACUUUAUUAAUUGCAGUAUUGAUCUCUGAAAUUAUGUUAAGUACAGAUAAGAAUACUUUAGUUGGGCUGGGGAUUUAGCUCAGUGACACACACACUUGCCUGACAAGUAUGAGGUUGGUACCAAAACCAAAAUGAGUAAAUGAAUAAUAAAGUUAAGUUUAGGCGUUAAAAUCUGGGUCUCAAAAAUGGAAAAAUGGAAGAGAAAAGGAUAGAGUAUUCAGGGAGAAGGGAACUAUAGAUUGGAAAAUAUAGGCUAGCAUAUCUAUAUUCAGGGGUUGUGUAGUAGACAGAGUUAUGGCAUUGUAUCUCAGGGUAGGGAAGGUGCUGGAAAGAUGGGCAAAUGGGAUGGUGUCUUAGUUACUUUUUACUCGUUGCUGAGACAACACACCUGAUGCCCAAAGUUGGGAAAGGAAAGGUUUAUGUCUUACAGUUUUUGGAGGUUUGAGUCCAUAUUCAGUUGGCUCCAAGGAAGGCGGGCAUGGCUGGGUCACAGUUCAUGGUGGCUGUAAGCAGCACAGAGGAAACCAGCAAAAGAGCAAGACACACCUUUUUCCUGCCAUCACAUUACAUCUUGGCUAGACCCCUAGGCCAGUGUAGUACUCACACCCCCAAUCCAAGUGUCAGACACUGAACCAAUCACAGAUGUGUAAUACAAAUGCAGGAGGCCUGGGGGCCUCCAAAAUGAGCCAUGACAGAUGGGAUGAUUUUUGGGCUAUAUUCUGACUUUUUUGAGUACAUUUUGGCUUUGAAUUGUGGUGGAGGUCCCAGCAGAUGGGAAGAUGUAGGCAUAAAUUAGUGAAAUGAACUCACCAGCAAAGCAAAUAGUCCUGAAUGCUAACUGCUAGAGACAGGGCUAGUGAUAUUUAUGAAUAAGAUGGUAGAAACAGAAACAGGAAGGAAAGCCACCUAAAGAGAUGGUGGGAAAACUUUCAAGUCUCAUGAACACCUGAAAAUUUUCUUUUUUGCUUAUAAUUCUGAGGUUUAGCAGCAUCUUCCCCUUUCAGCUGUUGGACUCUGUUUAGUGCUUUCAAGAAGGUUGUUAAAAAACAGUAAACUUGACCUCUCCCUGGUCCUUGGCUUCUGGUCUCACCACAUGAUCCCCAUCCUAUAUAUUCCUGCUGUUAUGAUGCUAACCACCACUAUAAGGUUCACACCAGAGCCAAGUCUAACCUGGUGCCCUACCCUUGAACUUCCAGAAUUGUGAGCUCCAUAAAUUUUUUUCUUUAUAAGUCACCCAGUCUCAGGUAAUUUGUGAUAGCAACAGAAAACAGACUGAUACAUUCUCAUAUCUUUCUUAUCAGUGGGGAGGGGGUUAGAAAAAUAAAAUAAAAUAAAUUAUUGCUAUAAAAUAAAUUUUAAUUAACCUUGUCUUAAUUACUUUGUUGUUGCUUAUACACAUUACCCAACACCCAGAACUCUAAAAGAGGAAAGGCUUGUUUUGGCUCACAGUUUGUAGAAGUUUCAGUCCAUAGUCUCAGUUUCAAGGUAGGGAGGUAUGGCAGAAGAGCAUGGCAGUAGAGAAACAGCACAUGGAAUGGCAGACAGGAAGCAGAGAUCAAGGGAGGAAUAGGGAGCUAGGACCUUCCAAGCCAUGCUCCCAGUGACCCAUUUCCUCCCACCAGGCUUCACCUCCUAACAUCACAUUUAGGUAUGAACUUAUCAGUGGACUAAUUCCUUGAUGAGUGUGAUGCCCUCAUGAUCCAGUGACCUCCCAGGAGCCCCACCUGUAAGUGAAUGAGGCUUUGGGGGUACAUCUAGAUAAAAACCAUAACCUCAUGUAUCUUUUACUGUUUAGCUUUUAGUUUACCAUAUAAUCUUGCCAUUAUUAUUGUGUUGUUAUUAUUUGCAGCUUCAGCCCAGAGCUCAGACCAUGGUGGUAGCUCUAAAGAUGUUCCCUGAAUUGGAUGUAAUCCUUUUCAGAAAGUUCCCCUAUGACUAUUUUUGGCCCAAUUUAAUUCCCUAUCUUCAUAGCACUUGACAGAUGCCCUGUGCCUUGGUCACUCCCCACACUUGUUGCAUUUCCCCCUUGACCACAUAGCUGGACCAGCUUUCCUAGUAUCCCUGGUGCUUCUGUGCAGCCAUAUGCCAGACUUCUGUCCAGUGCAGUGUGGCUGAGAUGACAUGUAGCAUGUCCAGGGUGAGUCCCACACAGCUCGCUGGGCCAUGCCUGUGAUCCUUGGCUUUCUCUCUCCACUACAUACCUGGAAAGGUGAGUCUUUUGUAGCCCUGAGACAUGACAGGUGGAUAAAUUGGAGGGUGAAGAGGUGUCUGAGAGCCCUGUCUGGGAAGUCACCUGCCCAUCAACAUGUUGCCUGACCAAUACAUAAGUGUGUAUUGUGUUCAACUCUGGAGGCUGUUGAUUACAGUGUCUGUCCUACCCUGACUGUCUUGUGGAGAAAGGGUACACCUCAGAAAAUGGAGAGCAGGGAUGCAUAUUCAUAUGCAUUAUAAAUAUUAGGGACACACAUUAUGAAUAAAGAAUUUGUAUUAUGAAUGCAACUGUAUAUUAUAUACUUUAAUUAGACAACAUCUAUUACUGUAUAAAUACGCAAAUACAUUAUGUAACCUCAGAAGUUGUAAAGACAAGAGAUUCAUGAAUGUGGUGAUUCAGUGAGAUUAAGGUUAUCAUUUUCCCUGCCUGUUUUUCUGAAUGCCAGUGGAUUUCCUUCUUGAAACAAGGACAAGAUUAUGGAGAACCUUCCCAAGGGUCAUAAGUGGGUGAUGGAUGUUAUACUAAGGCCCCCUAACUAUCAUGCCAAAGUCUGUUCUGUAUAAGCCUGCCUGCUGCUUUCCCUCCCCUUCCCCCUUCCCAUCUAACUAGGUUAAAUUUUAACUUCCCGAAAGGCCAUAAAACAAAGGCCUGAGGUAAUAGCUCCUGACAACCCCCUUCCCUACCCAGUGGCCCCAUCACGAAUUGUGUAUUCUUCACAAAAAUAGCUUCGUUUGUAUCAUAGCAGUACCUGUGUGUUCCUUUUCCCUCAGGGUAAAGGAUUGAUAUGUUAAUCAAUGCUCUCCUCUGUAAAGAAUUGUAAAAAUCUUACCUAAUUAAUAUGUUAACCAUUGUUGCCCUCUACAAAUGGCAGUUGUGGUGCUAAAGUAAGGUAACUAAAGUUGUUAAUUGCUGUUAGACUUCUCUAUUCUUUGCUAAGAAAAACAAGAUUUCUUCUUAUCUAAACUUGCUUGUAUGCAGGGAGACUUGCUUACCCUUACCUGAUCUUGCUCUUCCCAAGAGUUGUAAUCACCGUUUCACCCCUAUCCCCUUCCUUACAUUGUGUUACCAGCAGCAGUUUGUGGAUUUACAAGAUAAAAGCCCUGACUUUUAGCUGUGAGGUGCAUAGUCUCCAAAUUGGCUCCUGGAGGCUGUGUCACCAGGCCUGGAAAUAAAGCCUUUGCUUCCCAAAUUUUAA